AGAUUGGAGCUCUCUCUCAUUAAAUCGAUUGGGUUAUGCCAAUCCGCUGGUGACCGAAACUUCAAUUGCGUCAGGUGAUAUGAUUGGAGGAGCGCGCGCGCUAUCUCUUUUGGCUCAUCCGGUCACACCGACGACGACGAGUCAAAUGAGAUAACGUCAGAAAGAAGAAGAAGAGAGAGAGCUGAGAAUAAAAUAUAUAUCCUACUAUAAAGCAGCUUCUACGGGAAAAAAACUAAAAAAGAGUUGAAUGAACUGCCAAGCUCCGGAUCCAGAUGCCUUUGCACUUUAAGUGUGCCAAGGAUACUGUGAUGCCGACUGCCCCGAUGCUUUGUUAUCCCCCCCACCACCACAACUUCUGUAACCGCGCGCCACCCCCGAUGAUGCUGGCCCAGUGCUGCUGCUGCGAUGACGUCCGACUCGUGCGCCCACCAAAUGGCAUCAUCGUCGUCGUGGCACCAAACCAAAACAAACAACACAAUUUCCAUCGUCUAUAAAAGAAGAAGAAGAGACGUGCGCAACACACAAAAUCGGGCGGGAACUGAUCCAAGGACGCCCAUCGCGUGUGUAACAAUGUCCACCACCACCAAACAACAACAAAACAAAAACGAGUAGCCAAAAAACAUUUUGGCCAAAAACAAAAAAAUACCAACGAACAUCUAGUGACAUAUAAAAAUGCGGUCCGCCCACAGGUCGAUGAACUCUCGGUCGGGAGACUAUCUGAGCGAACCAACUGACAGUGCAGGUGUUGUAUUUUUAAUUAUAACCCAAAUUGGCAGCCAAUCGAUACUUGGUCAAUCACAGCAUCUACUCAUUUGAUUACGUCAAUUAAGUUGUACGCUAAUUAUUUAGGAGAGAGAAGAAUUAAAAAAAAGGGGGAAAAGCAAAACGAACCCGUUGACCCACUCUUGACGUGUACACUACAUUCAGCCUGUGUGUACUACACAUCCCGUUUAGCCCGGAGAGAGGAGGAGGAUCUCCUCUAUAAUCAACACACAAAUGGAUGCCCGGAGUAGUAAGAAGAAGAAGAAGAAAAGAAUUUCCAGCGAAACGAUUUAAAAAAAAAAAAAAUUGAUGGGGAAAACCCCUUUUUAAAAUUAAUUUGUUUGUCCAGCUGAUUUGCGCAACCUAUACACAGUCCGAACAACCUGUAUAAUAAGAAGAAUCUCUGUAUGUAUAGUAUAGAAUAAUCCAAUUGGAGAAUCAAAAGAAAU